UCCUGCUGAGUCUUAUAACUCUGAACUGCCGAGUAGAUCUGCUUCCACUGCGUUCUCCAUGGGGGACUAAGAUACGAUGAUCCAAUGGCUGAAAUUGAAGAAGAGAAUUCUUGUAGCCGUGUACUUAAUUCAGCUGCCACCUGUGCUUCUAUACUUGGAGACAAAGUGGAUAUUUUGCUUCGAUUCGGUGUGAAGUUGCUGGAUUCAGUAGUGAAUUUGAGGAUGAUGAAAUCAAUUGAUGUAAGUCCAAUUUACUUGCUGAAAUUUGUUCAAUGUGAUCAUUUGAGAAGCACCUUUGACUCUGAAUAACAAGCUCCUGUUGAUUAGAAGAAUUUAGAGCUUGUUUUCCUUUACUGUAAGCGCCUAUGGUUGAAUAUGAAAGAGGUAAAUCUUCAUUCU